UCAACUGUCAAAGUAGUACAAUAGCGAGA
rnacentral:sRNA from 1 species